UACUGUUUGUGAUGAUCCAUUUAAAACAAUGGGAAUCUCUCUGAAAGAGGCUGAGGAAGACUCUUGCACUGAAACAGUA
rfam:Picoides pubescens contig98522, whole genome shotgun sequence.